GGGAAGGUGGCUCAGUGGUAGAGCACUUGCCUUGCAUGCAUGGGUUCCAUUCCU
rnacentral:tRNA from 1 species